rnacentral:rRNA from 1 species
AGUGAACGCUGGCGGUAGGCCUAACACGUGCAAGUCGAACGGCAGCACAGUAAGAGCUUGCUCUUACGGGUGGCGAGUGGCGGACGGGUGAGGAAUACAUCGGAAUCUACUUUUUCGUGGGGGAUAACGUAGGGAAACUUACGCUAAUACCGCAUACGACCUACGGGUGAAAGCAGGGGAUCUUCGGACCUUGCGCGAUUGAAUGAGCCGAUGUCGGAUUAGCUAGUUGGCGGGGUAAAGGCCCACCAAGGCGACGAUCCGUAGCUGGUCUGAGAGGAUGAUCAGCCACACUGGAACUGAGACACGGUCCAGACUCCUACGGGAGGCAGCAGUGGGGAAUAUUGGACAAAGGGCGCAAGCCUGAUCCAGCCAUACCGCGUGGGUGAAGAAGGCCUUCGGGUUGUAAAGCCCUUUUGUUGGGAAAGAAAAGCAGCAGGUUAAUACCCCGCUGUUCUGACGGUACCCAAAGAAUAAGCACCGGCUAACUUCGUG